ensembl:snoRNA
GUACAAGUGAUGAAGAUUAAAACAACACAUCAUUAUGACAAAUCAAGUGAUAUUGUAAACGCUUUCUGAUGUA